rnacentral:rRNA from 1 species
UACGGGGGGGGUAAGCGUUGUUCGGAAUUACUGGGCGUAAAGGGCUCGUAGGCGGCCAACUAAGUCGGACGUGAAAUCCCUCAGCUUAACUGGGGAACUGCGUCCGAUACUGGAUGGCUUGGAUUUGGGAGAGGGAUGCGGAAUUCCAGGUGUAGCGGUGAAAUGCGUAGAUAUCUGGAGGAACACCGGUGGCGAAGGCGGCAUCCUGGACCAACACUGACGCUGAGGUGCGAAAGCGUGGGGAGCAAACAGG